rnacentral:rRNA from 1 species
AUUGAACGCUGGCGGCAGGCCUAACACAUGCAAGUCGAGCGAGCGGCGGACGGGUGAGUAAUGUCUGGGAAACUGCCUGCUGGAGGGGGAUAACUCCUGGAAACGGUAGCUAAUACCGCAUACCAUCAGAUGUGCCCAGAUGGGAUUAGCUAGUCGGUGGGGUAACUGCUCACCUAGGCGACGAUCCCUAGCUGGUCUGAGAGGAUGACCAGAAAAACUGGAACUGAGACACGGUCCAGACUCCUACGGGAGGAAGCAGUGGGGAAGAUGGCACAAUGGGCGCAAGCCUGAUGAAGCCAUGCCGAGUGUAUGAAGAAGGCAUUCGGGUGGUAAAGUACGUUCAGCGGGGAGGCGUUACCCGCAGAAGAAGCACCGGCUAACUCCGGGCCAGCAGCCGCGGUAAUAC